GCGAAGGCAUCGCGAGCGGCGUAGCGGGAACGGCACCGAGCAGCCGCCCCGGCGCUCGCCCUGCUUCUCGGGCAGGUUCCCCAAGACCAGACGAGCUUAAACACCACCCCGGCAAGGCCAAGGCACGCCGGGAUCCCGGCUGCUCCGCUCCGGGCAGGUCUUGAGGGCGACUUUAAAAGCAGUCUGGCUUGGGGCCCGAUCCUGCGCUUUCCGGGCACCCACAACUCCCUCGGGCUUGACUGUUUUCCUUGCUCGAGAGAGACGGCUGGGCCCGGGGGAGGACGAGCUCGUUCUCCCCCUUUGCAACACCACAAACUACCCGAGCUGUAAUUCAGGCACACAGGGGUCAAGCCAAGAUCCCGGAGUCCUCUCCGGGCUGUUUGCAAACGCUCGGGAUUUUUAUACCGAAGGCAAAUGCCAUUUCCCAUCCUGCGGUUUGCAACUUUUGAGGCAAGCUGCUUUUUUCAAGAUGGGAAACUGCGUUCAAAGAGCAGAAGCGCCCUUUGCAUCCAACUGAUGUCGGGCGUGCCAAAAAAGGACGUUAAGUUCUCAGGCUAAAAAUGCACGGGGAAAUCUGGGCCUCGCAGCCUCGCUAGGAUCUUUGCCGCUCGCUUCAGCGCGGUGCCAGUUUUCCCCCAAAGGACCCGUACGGCCAAGCUAUGUUGCCCCAACCCCCCGUACGCUUGGCACAGGCUGAAUCUGGAAGUGGGCACGGCGAACCCUGGGCGCCAACGUUAACACGGCGGAGCAGGGCAUGCGUGCCGGGGAAGGCAAACGCCAGCAGGCGUGUUAAAGCAUAAGGGAUUGCCCGGACCAACGUGAACGCAGCCCGAAAACGAGCUCCGUCACGCUCUGCCCUCCCGGCGCCUCGGCUGGGAAGCGGGGCGGUUAUCGUACAGAAGAAACACCAAGUGCCGCAGAUAGCUGUAUAAGCCGGAGUACGGUGCUAUUACUCACGGAGCAGGUACCGGUGUGUCAGAUAUGACCCCUCCAGCGAGCGCAAACACUGUACGCAGGGUGUACGGCCGUAAACUCAUCUUCAGCGCAAACUUCCCAAGUAACAAAAGUUUCCUGUCCAGCCAUCAGGAAAAUUUCCUCCCUCUGCGAUGCCCGCGCUGUUUCCCGGGGCGUCGGAAAUACCGGCUUCCUCCGACUCCAUUACAACCGGCUAAGCCCCCUCUGAUAACCAUCUUAUUUUUUGGCUGCAGACCUUCCCCUCGCUGCACUCGCUCAGAACCCGGUAUUAGAUGAAUUAUUUCUCUUGCGGCAUUGCCCGGAGGCCCCAGGCAAGCUCGGGGCCAAGUCGCAAUAGGUGCUGUAUGUGUUUAGAGACGGUUCUGGCACCGCAGCGCCUACGGCCUGACAACCAGCAGUACAAACUUAGAAC
rnacentral:lncRNA from 1 species